rnacentral:rRNA from 1 species
AGAUUGAACGCUGGCGGCGUGGCUAAAGCAUGCAAGUCGUACGCACCCGCAAGGGUGAGUGGCGGACGGGUUAGUAACACGAUCGAACGUGCCUCGAGGUGGGGGAUAGCGGCGGGAAACUGCCGGUAAUACCCCAUGAUCUCUCCGGAGCAAAGGGUAACCGCCUUGAGAUCGGCGAUCGUCCUAUCAGCUAGUUGGCGGGUAACGGCCCACCAAGGCGAUGACGGGUAGCAGGUGUGAGAGCACGACCUGCAACAUCGGGACUGAGACACUGCCCGGACUCCUACGGGAGGCUGCAGCGACGAAUCUUCCGCAAUGGGCGCAAGCCUGACGGAGCGACGCCGCGUGUGGGAUGAAGCGCCUCUGGCGUGUAAACCACUGUCAGGGAGCAAAACCAACGAUUGCUUCCAAAGGAAGGGGCGACUAACUCUGUG